CAGGUUGCGUUUCUCGAAAAAAAAAAAAUUCUGCUCGGCUUUAAGUGUGAUUUAUACUUCUGCGUAAAAUGUACGUCGUUGCUACUUAUGUAGGUAUAUGUAGACACAAAUCUACGUCGGACCCCAAGCCGUAGCCUGACGUGCACCUCUCAGAAAAUGUACCUUCACGUCGCAGCGACACUCGUUUCUCUGCCGUGGUUUUUGCCGGAGCCCUGGUCUAGUGCUAAUACGGCCUUAAGGUGACAACACAUCCUUUGGCGGCCAUAUUGGAGUAAACAGGGACUCAGAACAGCCAAGGAUGUUUGCAGAUACUUGGCUGCCUCCCCAGACAUUAUAGACAUGAUUAAUAUUGGUUGUGUUUCUGACUAAAACAGUCACUGUCAUUGUGUCACUAACGUCAUUGGUAUGUUUACAUAAUGGUAGUCUAACGAUACAUGAAAACAUGUGUUUUGUACACCACCUAACUUGGGUGUUAACUUUGUUUCAUGUGAACGUUAACAUGUUGAUUUUUCGAUAGGCUUGUUAGAUCUCUGGCCAAGCCAAAAACAUCAACUAAGUAUUCUCAAAGGUACACUGAGUAAAGCUUUGGCAGAGAAACCAGGACUGAAGACAGUUCAACUUUCAAUAUAUUGUACAUGGUCUGUCCUGUAACGGACUUCACUAUUGGUUUAACCCCAGCACUCUGACAUCUACAGCAGAAACAUAGAGACCCAUUGGUGUCACCGUUGGAUGACUCUGUUAGAAAGAGCUGUUUGAUCAUGUUAAUAUUAAGCUCAUACGAUGUGCCGUUCGAACAUUUCUCAAGGUAAAUACUUCAAGGCAGGGUUAAGACCUUGCAAUUACUGAGAAUGGCGAGAUGCGAUGAUUGUGCAAAUGGGGAAAACGGCCGCACACUUUUGGGUUAGUUUCUCCUCAGAAACAUUCCCAGUCUUGAACUUGAGUCACUCAAGCAAAACUGCUUGAAAAAGAGUCUCACAUUGCUCCACACAUCUGGCAAAUCACUGGUUGAAGUGGUUGUUGUUUUAGUAGGGAAUUUUAGAUACUUUUCACUAAACUUUUAAAUGAGACAUAUAUGGAAGGGUGUAUCCAGUAUAAAGCAACAUCUGUUGGUUUAAAGUUUUUGAAAAGCCAGGGCUCAGACACUGAGGACCUCUUGCUUGGUUCCCCGGUCUUGGGAAGAUUAUCUGACCAAUAGCAAAGUUUGUUACAAAUCAACUCAGAGGCUCACAAACAGUUUUGAAUGACUGUAACUUACCUCCUACCAAAUAUACACAAGUACUCUGUACAGCAGAAAACAUGGUGUCACCAAGAUUAAGUUUCAACUCAUUUGAAAUUCUGCGACAGUGCUUUUCAGUUGGAUAGUUCUUCAAUAUACAUGCUUGUCAACUACAUUGGGACAAAAGACUUGUUAAUAGAAGGGGAAGAUUGUGAUCACGAUCAUGAUCGGGUCACUGAACGGACAUACCAGGCCCUGGAUCCCGGGUCAGGGAACUGCAAAACACCUACAAGAAAUGUUAAAUGAACACAGAGAGAGUCCUGGUUCACUGAGACUCACCUUUCCAGACAGUCUAGUUUGGCCUGGACCAGAGUUCAUUUGAUAGCUGCCACGCCAUUCUAAACAAACUGUACAAAAUGGGCAAAUCCACAAGAGUUGGUUUGAACUGUUAGUCUUCUAUAAAUUUAUUUUUGUUAACACUACUUUCUGCAUUGGCGCGUAACAAUGACAUGAAACAAAUGCUAUUACAAAGAGUUGUGUAUAAUUGAGGAUGGUAAGAGACUGGGUUCAUCCACUUUUACGUUCCAAGAGUUUCUUUUUCCAGCCUGGUUGUUUGAUAUUUGAAUAACUUCCGGCCAAUUCUCCAAUGGAUCGUCGGUCAAUGGUUGCCAGGCGAAUUAUUUAUAUAACCAAUUCCUGUAUAUGAAAAGAGGGUGCGAAUACUAAGACAGUGUGAGCAAGCUAAUCAAACGCAUGUAUAAUGUGCGUGCUGCAUCACCGAGCGUCCUUCCCAUGCUCUGUGGUAUGUGACACAUGUAGACGUCAAGUGGUUUCUUGGUUAUAUGCCUGCUUUGUUUGACUAAACUGAAAAAAAGAGAAUAGAUAAGAAGAAACAAAAAGAGAAACA